rnacentral:precursor_RNA from 11 species
AUUAUUAUGCCAAGAAUGGAUCUUGCGGGUUGAGGUAGUAGGUUGUAUGGUUCGGUAUUACACAGCCGCGUUGCCGGAUAGACUCUCGAAAAAUAUGGAAAUCAACCGGACGAAAUCAAAAUCUUUUUGGUUUUCCGUUCGGUUCCGUUUUUUGGACAGAGGACAAAUGGCGCGCGCCCCGGUGGAACUGUACAACUUGCUAACUUUCCUCGCGGGACUCUUCAUCUUCUCCUUUUUUU